CACUCUUAAUUACAUUUUAUAUACCGCCGUCUUGAAUAGAUCUAAAAAUUUUAUUCAAAAAAAAAUUCUAAAAAUUUAGGUAAAGGUGUAAACUAUUUAAAAGAUAAAAUGUAUUACAUUAAAUAAAAUUUAAGGAUCGAAUUAAACAUAAUCUCAAGAAAAAGGAUUUAUAAGUAUUAUUUAAUUAAUAUUAAAAUUUG
rnacentral:rRNA from 1 species